CCUGCAAUCAAUGUGAGCCGUGUGACACUUACCGAGUCCUGAGAGGCACAAACAGAGCAGCAGGACACACUGCAUGGCUGCGCUACAUAAAUGGGGACUGCGAGCUUUCGGGUAUUUACAUGCCUCGGAAAGUUUGAACCUCGUUGAGCUUGCAACACGCUGAAAGAAUGCAACGAAAGCCUGUUAGCACACCUGCACCAGGUGAGGCACAUAUGAGCCUGUCAAUCAACACGUGGACGUCAUCAAUUGUCGACUAAUUCGCCGGCCGCUGCUGCUGCUGCUGCUGCGUUAUCAAAGCGCUUUUCAAGUCUUAACCUAACCCUAAUGUGAACAUCUCAGCAGGGGUUUGUCAUCUUAUCAGAAAGCUGAGUGACAGUUAUAAACACACACACGCACACGGAGGACAUUUCCACCGCUGCAGAAAGUGCCGGGGCAGCGCGGCGUUAAAUGACUUGUCUGUGAAUCCCCUUUGUAGGUGAGCAGAAAGUUGCCCCAGCUAAACUUGGCGCGCGCACGCACACACACACACACACACACAGAGCUUUUCCUGUUAACGAGGCUGAUCAGCAGCAGCAGCGGUGAGUGCGUCACUUUGCAGAGCAGAGGGGAAGAAUGAGACACAAGGACAUUAUUAUUAAACCUUACGGAGCUCACAUCCUGCUGUACAUCCGUCUCUGUCAGCCUCUCUGUCUCUCACACUCUCUCUUCUGCUGCAUUUGAAGAUGAUGCGAUUGCUGUUCCUGUGCCUGCUGCUGCUGCUGCCAGCUGCUGCCGCUGUUUCAGAAGAUAAUGAAGGAUCAGCUGAUGAUGAUAUGGAUGAUGAGGAUUUAUAUGCAGGCGUUGUGGGAAAGGGUGUUCCUGACUCGACUGCAGAUAAAACAACGGGUGUGGACGAAACCUCAAGUGAGAGAAAUUUCUCAAUCAUUCAUAAUAUCAUACACUGAUAUCAAGGUAACCUACUUCACCGCUCACAUAACCCUCUCAUGUCUUUCAGAUCAGCUCACCAUGAUUUUCAUUAUUGUCGCAGUGGCGGUGGUGACUAUCUCAGUUGCAGUAAUAGUUGCUGUAAUAUUAGUAAGACGCAACAUGAACAGUCGGCAGCAAGGAGUCUACUCAGUGCCCACAGAACAGGACCAGAAACCAACCGUCUAGUGAAUGGAGGAGCUGCAGCGCUAUAAUACAAAGGAGUGACAAGAGGCAGCGCAAUAGGAAGAUAAAAACCCUGUUCCACAUCUGCUCAGCCUCAGCAAAGAGAGAAACACGUGGAAAUAGCCAGUGUGAACACCCUCUUGCAACUCUGCAAAUUAAUCGACCACCAUGAAUGAUGAUGUUUUCUUUUUCCCCCCUCUCAUUUUCAUUUUGAAAGGCUUUCACUUUAGUCCCGCAGAUUGUAAAUAGCUCUCUGAAUGCAGUGGAGAGCCAGAUUAAUGCCUCCCACACACAGAGAGAAGCAUGGUGUGAAGAAGAAGGGGAAAAAAAAUCUCACAAAUUAAAUAAAGUGGGAUGAUUGGGAAAAUAACA
rnacentral:lncRNA from 1 species